CUUUAACCCAGCCAAUUUCGUCGUGCCAGAAAUCAACCUCAUCCGUCCGAUCGAUGGUUCCAUCUCGCCGUCCCCUCCUCUCCGCCUCCCCCUCGCCCUCCCCUCCUCUCCGUCCGCUCACCCCUCCCCCGUCGCACGCCCCCGCGAUCCGCUCGUUCCCGCGAACCGCACGCCGCCUUCCUCGACUUCGACGUCGCCUCCUCUCCGCCUCCCCCUCGCCCUCCCCUCCUCUCCGUCCGCACGCCGUCGGUGGGCUCGAGCCGGCGCUGGUCGCCCUCGCCCCCUCGCCAUCGCCGUCGACGAUCCGUCGCCGACCCGCUCCAUCGCCGUCGCCCUCGGUGGGCUCGAAACGGAGCUGCAAACCCUUGGGCGGGCUCACCCCCUCGCUAUCGCCGUCUCCCUAGCCCUCGGUCGGCCUUGCGAUCCGCACGCCGGCUCCCUUGCCCUCCCUCGCCAUCGCUGACGAUCCGCGGCGAUCCCCGCGUUCGCCGAGCCAGCAACAGGCGCCAUCAUCGUCGCCCUCGCCGUGCAUCAGUUGGCUUGGCAGGUUGGUAGGUAACAACUAUUCUGACAUUUGCCGUCGAGCUCUGCUAGUCGUACAGAAGAUCUUUUUUUCAAAGGGAUGUGCUCUUCUGCAUAAGGUUGUUCUUUUGCCUAGAUCUUUAUGCAGGGGUGGAGGUCGGACAGAUCCUCAAGCAAACACCAAAUUUGCAUUAUGAGGUAGCCAAAAUUUGAGCAAUUCAUCACCUAUUGAGCAAAAAACACAAGGAUGAUAUGCUAUCCUUCAUGAUUCCUGGCUCAUCCCCUGGCUUUGUAGGUAAACUGUGUGGAGCACACUAGCACACAUGCUAUCAUCAGUUUUUCCCGUAUCUACCUGAACAUGCAUAAUUUGUUCUCAAUCACAAUGGCCAUUGAAAGAAUUUCAUCAGUAUAGCAUAGGAACCUCAUCCUCAUCUCAAAUCUUUAUGUUAAAUAGAAAUGCUACAACAUUGCUUUCGGAGUAACGAUGUUCUAUUUACAGGUUUGUCAAAUUGCUUGAGUUAUUGUCAGGAUGAUCUAAACUAUGUGACAAUGGGUCCAUAACAAGGUCCGCAUACUGACUGCCUCUGAACAAGCUGUUCAAAGAUCCUAAAGUGAGUCGAUGAUAAUACCACAUUGAUCAUGGAGGGAUUUGAUCCCAACAACAUUGGCUGCAUCAAGUUUCAUAACUUUCUCCUUCAAUUCUACUUCUACAUCAACAUGCCCCCAUGAAAUCACCAGUUAUUGGGUACACCGACACCACAUCAAUUGGCCUAAAACAAACAAUUUGCAAAUUUAGAUUCACUACUGGUGCAACCACCAUUCAAGGGACCAAAAAAGCUGGUCAUGCACAGCUCCAACGUCAGCCAUCACUCCUCCACAAUCGUGAUGCUCCCUAUAGUAACUACCAAUCAGUCCAUUCCACGAUAUUAAGAUAUUCAUGUCAGUGAAAAAGGCUUUAACUUUGUUUGCCAGGUUUGCAACGUAAGGUCCAACUUGGGUGCUUUAAUUUCAAAUGUGACAGUUGCUAUUUACUUUUCAUUGACAAACUUGAUCAAAAAACAUUCUCUUUUUUGUAGCAUGUGCUAUUAUUAUAUGUCCAUAUUAUACUUGCUGGCUGUGUUUAGAUUGGAACAAUAAUUCUGAAUUAUUCUGUUUAUUUUCAGUUUGCAUGGAGAUAACGUGAAAGAUGGAUUGAUAAGAGAGCAAGACCAGUCCAGGAGGUUUCUAGGAUCGAUAAGGGAGCAAGGCAUGGAUUUUAAGAGCUUAGAGAAUGAAAAUAUGGGUGGACCCCUCUAGGAUGAUUCCCCCCAUUUAAUUUUUUUUAGCUCAGUUGUGAUGCCUUAGUUACUGAUGGAAGUGUUACGAGAUGAAAGGGUUUAAUAACAUGUAGAAUGCUAUUUAUUGUGUCUUUUAGUUCACAUUGAAUUA